rnacentral:rRNA from 1 species
GUCGACGGCCAUACAACCCUGAACGCACCCGAUCUCGUCUGAUCUCGGAAGCUAAGCAGGGUCGGGCCUGGUUAGUACUUGGAUGGGAGACCGCCUCGGCAUACCGGGUGUUGUAGGCG